rnacentral:rRNA from 1 species
CGACACCGCAUGGUGUUGAUUUGAAAGACGCUUUCGGGUGUCACUGAUGGAUGGACCCGCGGUGCAUUAGCUAGUUGGUGAGGUAACGGCUCACCAAGGCGAUGAUGCAUAGCCGACCUGAGAGGGUGAUCGGCCACACUGGGACUGAGACACGGCCCAGACUCCUACGGGAGGCAGCAGUAGGGAAUCUUCGGCAACGGACGAAAGUCUGACCGAGCAACGCCGCGUGAGUGAAGAAGGUUUUCGGAUCGUAAAACUCUGUUGUUAGAGAAGAAUAAGUAGGAGAGUAACUGCUCUUACCUUGACGGUAUCUAACCAGAAAGCCACGGCUAACUACGUGCCAGCAGCCGCGGUAAUACGUAGGUGGCAAGCGUUGUCCGGAUUUAUUGGGCGUAAAGCGAGCGCAGGCGGUUUCUUAAGUCUGAUGUGAAAGCCCCCGGCUCAACCGGGGAGGGUCAUUGGAAACUGGGAGACUUGAGUGCARAAGAGGAGAGUGGAAUUCCAUGUGUAGCGGUGAAAUGCGUANAUAUAUGGAGGAACACCAGUGGCGAAGGCGACUCUCUGGUCUGUAACUGACGCUGAGGCUCGAAAGCGUGGGGAGCAAACAGGAUUARAUACCCUGGUANUCCACGCCGUAAACGAUGANUGCUAAGUGUUGGAGGGUUUCCGCCC